rnacentral:rRNA from 1 species
AGCGAACGCUGGCGGCAGGCUUAACACAUGCAAGUCGAGCGGGCAUCUUCGGAUGUCAGCGGCAGACGGGUGAGUAACACGUGGGAACGUACCCUUCGGUUCGGAACAACUCUGGGAAACUGGAGCUAAUACCGGAUACGCCCUUAUGGGGAAAGGUUUACUGCCGAAGGAUCGGCCCGCGUCUGAUUAGCUAGUUGGUGGGGUAACGGCCUACCAAGGCGACGAUCAGUAGCUGGUCUGAGAGGAUGAUCAGCCACACUGGGACUGAGACACGGCCCAGACUCCUACGGGAGGCAGCAGUGGGGAAUAUUUGACAAUGGGCGCAAGCCUGAUCCAGCCAUGCCGCGUGAGUGAUGAAGGCCUUAGGGUUGUAAAGCUCUUUUGUCCGGGACGAUAAUGACGGUACCGGAAGAAUAAGCCCCGGCUAACUUCGUG